UGCAGAGCAUAUACUGUUUACCAUUUUACCUUAUUGUGAUAGCAGGGGUGGGUAAAAGAAUUACUUUCUUCAAAUAUUUAUAAGCUGCUGACGUUAUCGUGUACAGUGUAAAUAAAGUAGAAUAGUUGUGACUUGUAAGUUGAGUAAAGAGUGAUAUAUCUCAAAAUGUUGAAAUAUUUUCUGGAAAAUUUUCUGCAAAACUCUAAACUCUGGGAACGAGGUUCCCAGGUUCCGAUACUUUUUCUACCCCUGAUCAACACUGAAAUACAGUGGCGUUCUUUAUGCUAAAGUCCCCGGUAUAAAAACUGGAAUAGGCCCCUGCCCAUUUUAAGUGGCAACCGGGGGGGGCUACGUCAAAAAGAUGCUAAAUUUGCUGAAAUACAUCAAAUUCGCCACUUUGUUAUCCUUGUUCAGUGGAUCCCUAAAUUAUUUAGGCCCCUGGCAUGCUGUAAUAUAGUGGAAAGCUUCAUAUUGAUAGGGAUACAACUACCUGAAAAAUACAAGGAGAACUUCGACGUUUUGAGCGAAGGUCCUUCGUCUGGAACUUGGCUACUAACUUAUUAUUGGGACUUCUAUGCUAGCACAGACCAUUCAAAACUGCAAUAUCCUCACUAUUAGAAACCUACUGAUGAUACCAAAACUUUUGAAAAUGGCGUGUUAAGGUAAGUACAGUAAUUAUUACCGACCAACGGGAAUUUUCCUACUAAUCCCGUUUGCAGGUCAGGCGUGAACAUUAGCUCGUACCCAUGCUUUUGCGACGUAUGUGGAUGACGAUUUCAAUCACAAGAUCGUUUCUUGGUGGUCCUUUAUGCAAUUUACAAAAUCAAUAUGAAAUAACACGAAAAUCAGUGAAAAGUAAAAAAAGCACAAAUUAAAAGUUUAAACGUAGCGAAAGGCAAAACAUGCUGUUUGACAAUUUCAGGCUUCAGAAAGUUCAGAUAUUUUCAUUCUUGAACUUUUAGUUCGCGCUAACUUUUAAGUUUCGUUCAGGAAAAUAUUCAUUUUUGACAUCACAGUAAAACUACCCUAUUAAUAUAUCCGAAUAUAAGCGCAUGCGCCUUCUAACCGUCAAAAUUUGUGACAUGAACUGACCGACCAGAACCAUUUUCUUAGUACAAAUACUUUAAGUUUUAAAUUAUCAACAAUGUCUAUUAUAAAUUGCAAUUAUAUGGUUAAUGAUAAUUUUUAUUGUUUUGCACUAUUAAAAAUAUAUAAAUCAUUGCGCCAAUUCUCGCUCGAAUUCUCGUACCCAGACCACAUGCGCGUAAAUCUGGGUAAAAGAGUCCAAUGCGCCUAUAAGUGAAAUUUUAUAGGUGCACGCGCCUAUAUGAAACGUUAAUUUUUACUCAACAAUUUUUAAAAAAUUGCAGAAAAUUCGUCUAAAGACGCUGUGCUUAUAUGUGGGAUGAUAGAGUAACAGUUCUUUUCAUAUUAUAUAGGUAGCAUACAGGGGCGCCGGAACAAUGUGAAGGCAAGGAUUGUUUACCAUUUACAUGGAAAACCCAUCCGGUUUGAAAUUGUGCUAAUGGUAAGCAAAAUUUCGAAUAGAAAAUCCCAUUCGGAUUAUACGCUUUCCAUUUAGAGUGACUGACCGAAAGGCACUGAAGGGUUGUUUACCAUUUACAUGGAAAACCCAUUCGGUUUGAAUUAAAUCGCGAAGAGCCUGGAACUGGUGCAAAAAUAAAAAAAAAGAUGUAAAUGGAACAAAAUUCACCGGUUGAAACGUUCCAAUCGGUAAGAGAGGACAACCUUUUCAAACAAACCGUUCAUUCCGGGAAAGUUCCGGUUGGGCCGUCGAAAUAUGCUUGUUCAUGUAAAUGGUAAACAACCAAGGGCACCGAAUAGAUACCGGACCAGAAGUGUCACUCCUAUAUGUUUUGGCUGAAGGAAAAC
rnacentral:lncRNA from 1 species